rnacentral:rRNA from 1 species
GAUGAACGCUGGCGGCGUGCCUAAUACAUGCAAGUCGAGCGAACGGACGAGAAGCUUGCUUCUCUGAUGUUAGCGGCGGACGGGUGAGUAACACGUGGAUAACCUACCUAUAAGACUGGGAUAACUUCGGGAAACCGGAGCUAAUACCGGAUGAUAUUUUGAACCGCAUGGUUCAAAAGUGAAAGACGGUCUUGCUGUCACUUAUAGAUGGAUCCGCGCUGCAUUAGCUAGUUGGUAAGGUAACGGCUUACCAAGGCAACGAUGCAUAGCCGACCUGAGAGGGUGAUCGGCCACACUGGAACUGAGACACGGUCCAGACUCCUACGGGAGGCAGCAGUAGGGAAUCUUCCGCAAUGGGCGAAAGCCUGACGGCGCAACGCCGCGUGAGUGAUGAAGGUCUUCGGAUCGUAAAACUCUGUUAUUAGGGAAGAACAUAUGUGUAAGUAACUGUGCACAUCUUGACGGUACCUAAUCAGAAAGCCACGGCUAACUACGUG